CGAGUAUUCAAUGAGGCAUUGAAUAACCCUAAAUUUGAAUUUCCUCAUCCUCCACCUAGUAAAUAUUAUGUGGUUGAUUCUGGUUAUCCAUCUACUACUGGGUUCUUGACGCUGUUCAAAGGACAAAGAUACCAUCUAAAUGAUUAUAGGAAUAGACGUCCAAGGACAGCAGUAGAGCUAUUUAAUAAUAGACACUCUUCUGUUAGGAAUGUCAUAGAGCGCAGUUUUGGUUCUUUGAAGAAGCGCUUUCCAAUUCUCAGCAAAAUGCCAUGUUUUCCACUGAACACCCAAACAUGCAUCGUCAUUGCUUGUUGUGCACUUCACAACUUCAUUCGGGAGGAAGAAAUUGCAGACAAGAAUUUUAAGGAGUUUGGUGAAAAUUGGUGGAAUGAGGAGCCUGAAGAAAUUCAAGAUUAUAUACCACCGGCUCACAUUAGUAUAAGCUUAGCAGAAA